ensembl:misc_RNA Metazoa_SRP Metazoan signal recognition particle RNA
GCUGGGCGUGGUGGUGCACACCUGUGGUCCCAGCUACUUGGGAGGCUGAGGUGGGAGGAUGGCUUGAGCCCAGAAGUUGGGGGCUGCAGUGAGCUAUGAUCGUGCCACUGCACUCCAGCCUGGGCAACAAAGCUAGAUCUUGUCUCAA